rnacentral:tRNA from 1 species
GAGGGUAUAGCUCAGUGGCAAAGUGUGUGCCUAGCAUGCAUGAGGUCCUGCGUUCAAUCCCUGGUACCUCCA